rnacentral:rRNA from 1 species
AUUGAACGCUGGCGGCAGGCCUAACACAUGCAAGUCGAACGAGUGGCGGACGGGUGAGUAAUGUCUGGGAAACUGCCCGAUGGAGGGGGAUAACUACUGGAAACGGUAGCUAAUACCGCAUACCAUCGGAUGUGCCCAGAUGGGAUUAGCUAGUAGGUGGGGUAACGGCUCACCUAGGCGACGAUCCCUAGCUGGUAUGAGAGGAUGACCAGUCAUACUGGAACUGAGACACGGUCCAGAAUCAUCAGGGAGGCAGCAGUGGGGAAUAUUGCACAAUGGGCGCAAGCCUGAGGCAGCCAUGCCGCGUGUAUGAAGAAGGCUUUCGGGUUGUAAAGUACUUUCAGCGGGGAGGCGUUACCCGCAGAAGAAGCACCGGCUAACUCCGUGCCAGCAGCCGCGGGAAUUC